GUGAAUCUAGGGUGUCCAAUUUAACUUGGAGCCCGAACUCUCACUUUCUAACCCUGUGCAUCUGUUUCUGGUUAGUAGCGUCUCCUCGGAGCGUGAACCCCAUUCACUUAUAAACACAAAGUCUAUGAAUGUAAUAAAUCAUAACAAAACA
rnacentral:misc_RNA from 1 species